UACGAAGGGGGCUAGCGUUGCUCGGAAUCACUGGGCGUAAAGGGCGCGUAGGCGGCGUCUUAAGUCGGGGGUGAAAGCCUGUGGCUCAACCACAGAAUGGCCUUCGAUACUGGGACGCUUGAGUAUGGUAGAGGUUGGUGGAACUGCGAGUGUAGAGGUGAAAUUCGUAGAUAUUCGCAAGAACACCGGUGGCGAAGGCGGCCAACUGGACCAUUACUGACGCUGAGGCGCGAAAGCGUGGGGAGCAAACAGG
rnacentral:rRNA from 1 species